AGGAAUUUUUAAAACGAGGAAAAGCAAAAUAUUUUAUAUGAGCACAUGACAAAGGGUCAUUGCUUCAUGAGAAGCUGUCAGCAUGCUUUGGGUGGCAUCACCUUUGAGGGGCAUGCUGAAGCUGUAAAACCCAGCUGGAGCCUCUAAAUGGGCGGAAGAACACUGAAGGGAAUGGAACACUGGCAAAAAGAGUGAGGUCAGGGAACAUGGUGGAUAAGGGGAAUCCUGGGCUUUCACUGUGGGUAGUGAGGAUUACCGCAAACCUGAAGCCCCUCAAAGCUGACUCAAGAGCAGGUUUAAUGGAGAAGCACAUGGCAAAAUCAUCGGUCUCCACCUGCAUCUUACCUAGCACAGUAUUGUGCACAUACUCGGAGGUCAACGAACACUUAGAUUGACUAGGAUAAUGGUGGUUUUAAAGGUAUUAUGUGUAUUUAUAAAUGACUGCAGUGAAUUUAGGGAGCUGUUGGACUCAGUGUCAGUGUUACUGGGGGAAAUGGAUUUCUGAACCACAUCCUAGGACCAAACUAAUGAUCCGAAUCACAUCAAGUGUGGCAGUGGCACAGCAAGAAUUUAACUCUUUAUUUAUUCCCCAGCUUUGUUAGGAUUCUCUUUGGUCAGCAGGUGUUGCAGGACAGCUGCAUGCUCUGUAGGGAACCCGGGGGGCAGGGAAAAGCCCUGCUGAGGUCGCCGGCAUCUGUUCCUCCCUCUGCAGCUACCUCACGUCCAUUACUUCUGAAUUCUUGGCCGGGAACUUUUGAAGAUUAACUCCUCCCUCCCCUCAAAGAAAAGAUGGAAAUGAUGUUGUUUCUAGAAGUUUGUCUGUAUGAUGACCCAAGAUAUCACCUCUGAUGUUUCAAGAACUACUUUAUUCCAUGGGAUUUAAAGUGCCUGUAUUUUCAACAUGAGCCAGUUCUCACACUUGGAACCAUACAGUAAGUGAGUGAUUCUAUCCCAUGAAGAAGGACCCUACAACAUCAUGGCAAAUGUAAAUACGCGAUUCUCCCAGUCGUCCCAAAGGGAUCUACUUGUCUACCUAGAAGGUACUGAGCAUGUUCUUAGGAUGAUGGCAGAGAACAAGAAUGAGAGCAAGUGGAAAGAGGACAAGCAAUAUUCCAGAUAAUGGCUUCUUGGGUCCCGGAGCGACCUGAUGUGGAGCAGAGCAGUGGCUGACGCCUAACAGACAUGCACCUUGACCAGAAAGGAAACUGUGUGUUAUGAGCCACUAUUAUUGGGUUAUUUGUUGCUUCAGCAAAACCUAGUGUGGCCUGACUGAUCAGUAGUUGUUAAAUGAUGCUGUGUAAACCAUUAUUUAACCCAACAGUUCAAGUUUCCUUGUUAAAUCUAUACUUGUCUAGAUUUUGUGUUUUUGCAGAGAGUUCCAUAUAAAGUUGUUUAAUUCCUUUAUGGCUUGUUUUUGAGAUUUUGCACAUCAGGGAUUUUUGCAUGGCUAUUCCUCAUUCAUCAAAACAACAAGAUAUCACGAGAAUGAACAUCUAAUUUUUUCUACUUCAUCUAGAUUUUUGCAAUAUAGUUUUCAUGCUUUUCUGUAUGUGAGUUUUCUACCCUAAUGUGCAGCAUGUGAAUGUGAUAUUUAUCUUAUAGAUUAGUCUUUGCCUGUGACCUAUCGCUGACCACAGGCAAGGAUCACAUCUACUAUGUGCUGUGUCCUUGUCUAUGUUACACAAAAAUAACUACUGGAAAAUGAAACAUGUAGUUAAAUGACAAAUUUACAUCCAGUGAUUUUUAGAAAUAAGUUCUGAUUUUAGAAUUUUGAAUAUAAUUGCCCUACU
rnacentral:lncRNA from 1 species